rnacentral:sRNA from 1 species
UCCCAGUCGAUCCCACUCUGCCAAAUGC